GGCGGAAUAGCUCAGCUGGCUAGAGCAUCCGGUUCAUACCCGGCAGGUAGUUGGUUCAAAUCCGACUUCCGCUACCA
rnacentral:tRNA from 1 species